AUCAAGAUUCUGAGAUGACAAACUCUUGGCAUUUAGAAUGGUGGCUAGUAAAACUGAGGGAUAUUAGAGAUUAAGUCAGAGAAUACCAGGAAAUUGACUUAGGGAUAGGUAAGUCCCAUUCACAGAGAACUCAGUGUACCUGUUAUGGAAUUUAACAUUUUAGAGAUUUUAUUUUUAGUGUUGAGGAAAAAAGAAACACUAAAAUACGUUCAAGUUGAUCUUCCAUCAAGCAUUUACCUUUGUCUGGUUUUGUUCUUAAAAUUCAGAGUUCUAGUCGUCUACCCAGAUCUUCCACCUUUCGCAAAAAUUAACUUGAAAUGGAUCAUAUAUCUAUGUGUGAAAUAAAGAACUUUAAAAUUUCUAGAAGAAAAUAGAGGGAAAAACUCUGUAUGACCUUAGGUUCAGUGAUGAGUCUUUUUGUUUUUGUUUUUAAUUGAGGUACAGUUGACACACAAUGUUAUAUUGGUUUCAGGUAUGGAACAUAGUGAUUUGACAUUUGUAUACAUUGUGAAAUGGCCACCACAAUAAGUAUGGAUACCAUCUGUCACCUUGCAAAGCUAAUACAAUAUUAUUGACUAUAUUUCUCAUGCUGUAUAUUACAUCCCCAUGACUAAUUUAUUUUAUAACUAGAAGUUUAUAUUUCAUCUUCCUACCUACUCUAUGACAUUCCCAACCCAUCUCCCCUCUGGCAACCACCAAUCUGCCCUCUUAUCUAUUAGUCUAUAUUUUGUUAUGGAAUUUGUUUGUUUUCUUUUUUAGAUUCCACUUGUAAGUGAAAUCAUGUGGUAUUUCUUUCUCUGUCUGACUUAUUUCACUCUACAUAAUACCAUGUCCUCACAGAUGACAAGAUUUCAUUCUUUUUUAUAGCUGGGUAGUGUUCCACUGUGAAUAAAUAUAUAUAUUUAUUCCUGUCAGUGGACACAGGUGGGUUCCAUAUCUUGGCUAUUGUAAAUAAUGCAGCAAUGAAUAUAGAGGUGCUUGUAUCUUUUGAAUUAGUGUUUUCUUUUUUUUUUUUUUUUUGGUAUAGAUAUCCAGCAGUAGAAUUGCAAGAUCAUAUGGUGGCUCUGUGUUUCGUUUUUUGAGGCAAUGCCAUACUGUUUUCCGCAGCAGCUAUACCAAUUUACUUUCCCAGCAACGUGGCAGAACCAUUCCCUUUUCUCCACAUUCUUGCAGAACUUGUUAUUUCUUGUCUUUUUGAUAAUAGCCAUUCUGAAAGAUGGGAGUUAAUAUUUCACUGUGGUCUUGGUCUGCAUUUCCCUGAUGAUUGAUGAUGUUGAGCAUCUUUCCAUGUGUCUAUAGGCCAUCUGUAUGUCUUCUUUGGAAAAAUGUCUAUUCAGGUCCUCUGCCCAUUGUAAUCUAGUUGCUUGAUUUUUUUUGUGUUGUAUGAGCUCUUGUAUAUUUUGGAUAUUAACCACUUAUCAGAUGUAUCAUUUGCAAAUAUCUACUCCCAUUCAGUAGGCAGCCUUUUCAUUUUGUUGAUAGAUUCCCUUGCUGUGUAAAUCUUUUUUGUUUUCUGUGGUCCCUUUUGUUUAUUAUUGGUUUUGUUUCUCUCACCUUUGCAGUCAGAUCCAAAAAAAAUCACUGCCCAGUCUGAAGUCAAGGAACUUACUGCCUGCACUUUCUUUUAAGAGUUUUAUAGCUUCAGUACUUACUUAAAUCCAUGUUGAGUUAAUUUUUGAAUAUGGUAUAGAACAGUGAUCCAGUUAUUGUGUUCUUCAGCUCUGUCAUGUCUCUUUGGGGCUUUCUAGUGUUUUCUCUUUGUUGAAGUUUUCACUAUGUUCUUUUAUACUGUGUUGUAGGGAGCAUUUAUCUCAUCUUCAGACCUUUUUCAGGAGGAAAUGAUUCUUAUGUAGCUGUAGAUUUAGUAUGUCCAUAUGAGGAGGUGAGCUCAGAGUCUUCCUUGAUCUCCGUCUUGGACUCCUACUGAUGAGCUUUAGAAACAACCCAUGGUUCAUGAAAGACAAAAAAUGGAUAUGUUGAACUUUAUUAAAAUAGAAACUUCUUGUUGGUAAAGGAUACUAUUAAGAUAAUAAAAAUUCAAGUCACAGACUUUAUUUUUAUCUAAAGCAUACCCCAAAUCCUUAAAACUCAAUAAUAAGAAAACGAAGAACUCGGUUGAAAAUUUUCUGUGGUUCCAAACUACACUAAACUACACUAACAUAAAGCAUUUGUUUAAAAAUCUCAUGGUUGUAGUUUCAUAUUUUUCUUCCAAAUUUUUUGUUUGUUUUUUGUCUUUUUAGGGCCAUACCUCCUGGGAACCUCCAUAUGCUGCAAGAGUGGCACAAGAAAUGGCAAAAAGCCAAAAAAAAAAAAAAAAAAAAAGAAAAAGAAAAAGAAAAGAAAAGAAAAGAAAAAAAAAGAAAAGAAAACAAAGGUGGAGUUGCCAUUGUGGCUCACUGGGAACAAACACGACUGGUAUUCAUGAGGAUGCAUGCUCAAUACCUGGUCCCACUCAUUGGGUUAAGCAUCCGGCGUUGCCCUGAGCUACAGCAUAGGUGUAGGUUGCAGAUGCGGCUCAGAUCUGCUAUUGCUGUGGCUGUGGCAUAGGCCGGCAGCUGCAAUUUGAUCCCUAGUCUGGGAGCUUCCAUAUGUCUUACCUGCAGCCCUGCAAAUAAAAAAAAAAA
rnacentral:lncRNA from 1 species